GACGAUUGUGGGAUUCUUUGAUGGCCUGGAAAUGACUCUCGGUUGGUGCCUUGGUUGAUGAUGUGGUGUUCUUCCCCCCCUCAACACCACGAAGGCACCAACAAGCCGACUCGUUCUCGAAGCAACUUUUGCUAAGAGGAUGGGAAGGCAACAACGUCCCGAUCAGCGAAUUACGAUGUGGUGUUGUUUGCCCCAACAUCACGAACACACCAACAAGCCAACCUGUUCUCGAAGCAUCACAUGUUGUGAGCCUUUGCAAGCAACUGAUUGUGCCAAGAGGAUGUGGAGGUGAUGUCCCGAUCAGCAUCUUGCUACACCUUGUAGGCAUUAGCAAGGCAAACGGUGGCUAACAAGAAAGGGCAAUGAUGUGGUAGUGUUGGCGCCUUGCAACACCUCGGAGGCCCCAACAAGCCAAUCCUUCCUUGAAGCAUUGCAUGUUGCACAGCAUUGCUGCCAACUAGUCAUGUUGAUGAGGUGGUGAGGCAUUUUCAAGAGGCGUAUAUGUGGGAUUCAAUGUUUUUUUCUUUCGCAUCGUGCGGUGCUAUCCUAUGAACUGACCUGACUUUUGGUUGUAUCCUUGGCCUUUUAUGGUAAGGAUGUGGCUAUUUGGUGGGUGGUUUUAAGGAUUGUCAAUCGUAAAGGCGCAUGAGUUGUGUUUGGUUUGUUAUGGGUGGUUGGAUGUCUGCAUAUGCAGCAACGUCCAUGCAUGCAAACCUCUUCAUUUGUUUCCAGGGCAUGCUUUGCUCUUGCUUAUUGUGGGUUUCUUGCAUUGUGUUCCUGAAUAACGGUAUUCUAUGGAAUGAUCGAAUUAUCUUUUUUAUCAUGUGUUGCUUUUGUGGCAUGUGAAUAAGCAUUAAGCUGUCUCUUUGAUCCAUUUUGUCUUUGUCUUUGCAUUGACGUUGUGGCUCAUUGAGCGUUGCUUGGUCUCAUGGAUGCGGAACCUGACUAGGUGAUAGGGGUCUUAUUUGACCCUUUGUUUGCCAUUAUCGGGUGUUCUUGCCUCUUCUUGAUACGACCGUUCGUUGUG
rnacentral:misc_RNA from 1 species